CCUAGGAGCAAGUUUAUUAAUUAUUUUUAAUUAAGUUAAUAGUAAAAGUUGUAAUAUUUAGUUGUGAAAUAAAAAUCAAAUAUUUACUAAGAAAUAAUAAAUUUAAAAACUUAGGAUAAAUAGGGGUUAGAAGCCCAGUAUAUUGUUUUACUUAAAUUAGGUACUAAAAGUAUAAAACUCUAAACCUAAAGAGCAUGGCAGUAUUUUACUCCCUGCAGAGGAACUUGAACAAUAAAUGAUAAUCCUCGAUAUAUUUCACUUAAGUUUAUUUUGUGUGUGGUUGUUUAAAUAAAUAAUAAAUUAUACAUUUUAAAUCAGAUAACAUGUAAAAAUAAUUAAGUAUGGUUUAGUUACAAAUAAUUUAUUUUAGAGGAUUUGCAAGUAUUUUUUAUUUCAGCUAGAAGUAAAAAUGAAGAGGUUAUAGAAUGUGUACAUAUUGUCCGUCACUCUCUGAGAA
rnacentral:rRNA from 1 species